rnacentral:tRNA from 1 species
AGCAGCAUGGCGCAGCUGGAAGCGCGCGGGGCCCAUAUUCGUGUAACCCCGAGGUCACUUGAUCGAAACAAGUUGCUGCUA